rnacentral:rRNA from 1 species
CGAACGUUGGCGGCGUGCUUAACACAUGCAAGUCGAACGAGAAAGAGAUCUUCGGAUCUUGAGUAAAGUGGCGCACGGGUGAGUAACGCGUAGAUAACCUGUCCAGGUGUUUGGGAUAGCCCUUCGAAAGGGGGAUUAAUACCGAAUACGUUAAUCAUUCAUAAGGGUGAUUAAGAAAGGUGGCCUCUAUUUAUAAGCUAUCGCAUUUGGAGGGGUCUGCGUACCAUUAGCUAGUUGGUGGGGUAAUGGCCUACCAAGGCUUCGAUGGUUAGCGGGUCUGAGAGGAUGAUCCGUCACACUGGCACUGAAACACGGGCCAGACUCCUACGGGAGGCAGCAGUGAGGAAUAUUGCGCAAUGGGGGAAACCCUGACGCAGCGACGCCGCGUGAGUGAGGAAGGCUUUCGGGUCGUAAAGCUCUGUCAGAAGGGAAGAAAUGUGUAUAGGUUAAUACCCUAUGCACUUGACGGUACCUUCAAAGGAAGCACCGGCUAACUCC